CCUACGGGUGGCAGCAGUGGGGAAUAUUGCACAAUGGGGGAAACCCUGAUGCAGCGACGCCGCGUGAGGGAGGAAGUAUUUCGGUAUGUAAAGCUCUAUCAGCAGAGACGAAAAUAGCCGGUACCAGCCUAAGAACCCCCGGCUAACUACGUCCCAGCAGCCGCGGUAAUACGGAGGGGGCAAGGGUUAUCCGGAUAUACUGGGGGUAAAGGGAGCGUAGCCGGCAAGGCAAGCCAGAAGUGAAAGGCUAGGGCUCAACACUGUACAUGCAUUUGAAACGGUGGUGCUGGAGUGCAGGAGAGGUAAGUGGAAUUCCUGGUGUAGCGGUGAAAUGCGUAGAUAUUAGGAGGAACACCAGUGGCGAAGGCGGCUUACUGGACUGUAACUGACGUUGAUGCUCGAAAGCGUGGGGAGCAAACAGGAUUAGAUACCCUGGUAGUC
rnacentral:rRNA from 1 species